AAAAAAAAAAAAAAAAAAAAAAAAUUCCCUCUGGGCCAGCCUCCAGCAUGGAAAAGUUCGAGUCUCUAAAUAGGCUCUUUCAGGAAGCUUUGGAUGAUGGCAAAGAUGGUAUAAAGAAACGUGGUGUGAAUGUUUUCCUACGAAAAACUAAAGUGAUCAGUGAGCUCCAGGGAUUCGUAUUUUGUUAAAUUAUAAAACCACGAGAGGGGCAGCUGGCCUCCGUGGCUCCUUGGCAAGUCCGAUCCAGGCUUGCGAGGUGGAGGAAUGAGCAUGGGGGGUUUAGCAGCUGUCUUAGCAUCCUGCCUCGGGCACCUGACCCCCCGGAGUUGGUCAAGACUUUGGGAAACACACCUGAGAGCCAGGUGCAUAGUGUAAUCACCACCGCAUACUGUGUUCUUACUCUGUUUCAGACAACUGUGGACAACGUGAACCUGAACUUCUCACAUGCGCUUUUCUCACAGUUACGUUCAUCCUGGAAAAUCAUCCUUGAACUGAAACCAGUACAUCAAACUGCUCUACUUCUCUGAACGAGAAGAGUAUUGAGGAAUGACACCAAGGAUCUUGAAAGUUUGGAGCUACGUGUAUGUUCCAAGACCCUUAUUGGAUGCCUGAAACUGGAUAGUUCCCAGCCCUAUGUGUCCUGUUUUUUCCUGUACGUACAUACCUACGAUAAAGUUUAAUUUGUAAAUUAGGCACGGUAGGAGCCUAAGAACAAUUAUUAGCAACACAGAACCAUUACAACAAUAUACUUUAAUAAAAGUUACGCGAAUGUGGUCUCUCUCGCUCUCUCAAAAUACCUUACUGCACUGUACUCUGACUUCUUCCUGAGAUGCCAUGAGAUUAUAAAAUGUCUACAUGAGGAGACGAAGGGAGGUGACUGACACAGGUGUUGUGGGCUAUUAGGCUGCUAGUGAUCUGAAGAUACUUCAGGAGGAGGAUCGUUGCUUCCAGAACACGGUUGACCACAGGUGACUGAAGCUGCGGAGACCGCGGAGAAGGGGCUCUACUGUAAUGCCACGCACAGUAUUAUCUCAUUUAAUCUUCCCAACAUUACUGUGGGAUAGCUACAUUAUUAAUAGCAUUUAAAACUUUUUUUUAAGUUUAUUUAUUUUUGAGAGAGAGCAAGAAUGAGCGGGGUAGGGAAAGAGAUAGAGGGACAGAAGAUCCCAAGUGGGCUCUGUGCUGACAGCAGCCAGCUAGUUAAAGGGCUCGAACCCCAGACCAUGAGAUCAUGACCUGAGCUGAAGUCGGAUGCUCAGCCAACUGAGCCACCCAGGCACCCCUAUUAUUCAUAUUUUAGAGAUGAAAAUACUCAGCACAGAGCUGUAAAAAAAAAUGGCAAAGAUAAAAUUUAAAUUCCUAACAGUCUGGGCAAUAGCUAAGCACAAAGCCAUCUUGUUUCUCACUCAGUGUAAUUCCUAUUUGUUGACUUGUCUUUCUUCCCAGCUUAUCUUGUGAUGGCCAAAGGAUAGCUUGUGGGCUAUAUGGAUGGAUCUUGAUUUUACGAUUCAUAGCCUUUCUGAAACUGUAGGUCUUGGACAGACUUGUGAAGUUGGUACUUUGAUGUUUCAGGAACAUAGCCCCUCUCCUUCCUUAAAAAUGCUUUUUGUCUCUUGGUAGAAAGCCCUUCUGGCCAGGUGCCUUGAUGCAUUUCUCUAUCCUUUGCUCUAUUUAAAAACAAAAACGAAAAGCACUCCUGAGUUUACUGGCCCUAACAUGUAAUCAGCUGAUAUAAAUUAAAAGCAUAUUUGCAUUUUAUUAUUUUACUUUAUCUUAAAAAAAUCUCUGUACCCAACAUGGGGCUCGAACUCACAACCCCAAGAUCAAGAGUCACGUGCUCUAUGGACUGAGCCAGCCGGGGGGCCUCUAAAAGCAUAUUUGCAUUUUGAAAAGUAAUGGAGCCUAAUAAAGAACUCUUUAGUGGUGAAAUGCGACUGCGAUCUUCCUCAUCUCUUAGCUUCAGGGAAGCUAGUCCAGUUUCUAUUCAAACUAGUUCAUUUAUAUCGAAACUCCUCAAAUGACCUAUUUUCUCUAACUGCUUUUAUUUUGGGCCUCUGGCUGUUCUCCCCGCAGUCCACUGAAAUUAAACACACACACAACAUUAUCACCAAAUCCAGUGGUCUUUCAUUAGAAUGCUUUCUUUUUCAUCUUUUUACGGCCUUAACAUUUUUUUUAUUCCUUCUGCAUUGAAAAACUAUUAUCCUGAGAUUUAUGUCAUUUACGUGUUUUGCUCCUCUCCCACUUCUCUGUGGAAUCGUUUAGGGUUCCCCCCCCCCCCUUAAAAGCUUUUCUUCUUUUGAUCUCCUAAUUGUGUGAAUUCUUCGGGCUACUGCUUGAGCAAAUAAUACCCAUAUUUAAAAUUGUCUCUGGUGCCCCAUAUUUAUACCUUCCCAAAGUGUGGCAUAUGGAACACUGUUCCCACGAGACUGCAUUAAAAAAUGAGCAACCAGGAGCCCUGGCAGAUACUUCUCUUCCUGCGUGUUCUAAAGACUGUAAACUUCAACAUUCUCUUUCAUGAUCUUACUUCCAGAUGGAGUGACCACGUAACACAAUUCUGACCAAUACGGUAUAAAUUGGAGUCUGUUGACCCUUCACCCUUCUUCCUGUUUUUGGCAUGGACUUGAAGCAGCGAGAAGCAAAGUGAAUUGCAGAGGUAGCAGCUCUCACGCUGCACGUAGGCCGGCAACGUUCUGCCUUCUGAGUUCUUAAGGUGCACAAAUCUCUAUUUGUUUGGACUGGAGUAAUCAGGUGAUUUACACCUUGCAGCUGACCAUCCUCCUAACUAGAUAUAAAAGUGCAACAUACCAUAUGUCCCUCUUAGAACUUCAGAAUGCACAAAAGAAUAUUAAAAAGAAGAAAUAGGGGUGCUUAGGUGGCUCAGAUCGUUGAGUGUCCACCUUCAGCUCAGGUCGUAAGGUCGAGCCCCACUUUGGGCUUUGUGUUGACCUUGCCAGUGCAUGGGCCUGCUUUGGAUUCUGUCUCCCUCUCUCUCCCUGCCCCUCCCUCACUCAUUCUCCAUUCUCUCUCUCUCCCUCUC